UUGCUUUGUCAGCACAUAAACUAAAAUUGGAACGAUACAGAGAAGAUUAGCAUGGCCCCUGCACAUGGAUGACAUGUUAAUUUGUGAAGUGUUCCAUAUUUUU